rnacentral:misc_RNA from 1 species
GCAAACUUGGUCAUUUAGAGGAAGUAAAAGUCGUAACAAGGUUUCCGUAGGUGAACCUGCGGAAGGAUCAUUACCGAAGUACAGGCCCCCUCAGGGGCUAAACUUCCACCCUUUGUUUACUACACGCUGUUGCUUUGGCGAGACGCCCCUGGGCCACCGGCUUUGGCUGGUGAGCGCUCGCCGGAGGAAACCCAAACCCAAACCUUUUUUAGUGUUGUCUGAGAACUAUACAAUAAUUAAAACUUUCAACAACGGAUCUCUUGGCUCUGGCAUCGAUGAAGAACGCAGC